UUGAAAAGAGAGUGCAAGAGAACGUGAAAUCGAUAUAAUGGAAGCGAAUGAAGUCGACGUAUCUAACACGUAUUCAGUCGUUCGAAUUGAGGCAAUCGUCCGAGAUCGUUACAUUCCGCAAGGUUGUCGGUUUUGAUGUUGUUGUUUUGUUCGGCGACGCAUUUGCGUGUAGAGUGCGACGGGUCGGCUGGUGCCGUUGGUGGAAGCCGUCGGAGAGGGCGUGCGAUUUAACGAUCGAACGUAACCUACGACUAUUUGGCGGAGACCUGAUUGGUGCUAGUUGAUUUGUUUUCGUUUUGAAUGCUGGUGAAUUCGGUUUUGUUUUGGGUGUUCGUUGCGGCUAGGCGUUGAACGCAUGCGUACGGCGUUUAGUUGUGCGGACAUUUUGAAUGAAACAACAGUCAUUCAACCGGUCGUAUAGUCGGUCACUCAUUCGACCCGUCUUGAAACACGGACCAAGGAGUUUAUAGUACACGCAAGUCAUUGAGUGUUUGCAAAGCUCAAAGGCGUAAUGAAAGUGAAAUCGUUUCAACGAUUCGAACGUGAUCGGUUAGUUUCAUUUAGUUGGCUGGCCGAGCAACGUUACCCCAUUCCGUGAACUUGUUCUGGUGUGGAGGUUGAGCGUGUGCAAUGAGACCCGAAAGAUGGUGAACUAUGCCUGAACAGGAC
rnacentral:rRNA from 1 species